AUGGUAAAGUGGUCUGAGAUUUGUAAACCCAAGGACCAAGGUGGACUUGGCGUAAUCUCCUCGAAGCGCAUGAAUAUGGCCCUUCUCGCCAAAUGGCUUUGGCGCAUAGAGACCGGUGCCGGCGGGUGGUUGGAUAUCAUCCGUGCAAAGUAUUUGCGUGGACAACCACUCGCCUUUGCCCCCAGGGUUGGGGGAUCCCAGUUUUGGCAGUCAAUUAUUCAGCUGCUACCGGUCCUCCAGAUCGGCACCACAAUUGCGAUGGGCUCGGGAUCUAAUGCGCUAUUCUGGCUGGACCGGUGA
rnacentral:rRNA from 1 species